rnacentral:rRNA from 1 species
ACCCGCACAAGCGGUGGAGCAUGUGGUUUAAUUCGACGAUACGCGAAGAACCUUACCUGGCCUUGACAUACUAAAAAGCUUUAAGAGAUUAGAGUGUGCUAGCUUGCUAGAAUUUAGAUACAGGUGCUGCACGGCUGUCGUCAGCUCGUGUCGUGAGAUGUUGGGUUAAGUCCCGCAACGAGCGCAACCCUCGUGUUUAGUUGCUAACAGUUCGGCUGAGAACUCUAAACAGACUGCCUACGCAAGUAGGAGGAAGGUGAGGACGACGUCAAGUCAUCAUGGCCCUUACGGCCAGGGCUACACACGUGCUACAAUGGGGUAUACAAAGAGCAGCGGUACGGUGACGUGGAGCAAAUCUAGAAAAUGCCUCUCAGUUCGGAUUGUAGUCUGCAACUCGACUACAUGAAGUUGGAAUCGCUAGUAAUCGUAGAUCAGCAAUGCUACGGUGAAUACGUUCCCGGGUCUU